AGCGAACGCUGGCGGCAGGCCUAACACAUGCAAGUCGAACGAACCUUUCGGGGUUAGUGGCGGACGGGUGAGUAACACGUGGGAACGUGCCUUUAGGUUCGGAAUAACUCAGGGAAACUUGUGCUAAUACCGAAUGUGCCCUUCGGGGGAAAGAUUAAUCGCCUUUAGAGCGGCCCGCGUCUGAUUAGCUAGUUGGUUGAGGUAAUGGCUCACCAAGGCGACGAUCAGUAGCUGGUCUGAGAGGAUGAUCAGCCACAUUGGGACUGAGACACGGCCCAAACUCCUACGGGAGGCAGCAGUGGGGAAUCUUGCGCAAUGGGCGAAAGCCUGACGCAGCCAUGCCGCGUGAAUGAUGAAGGUCUUAGGAUUGUAAAAUUCUUUCACCGGGGACGAUAAUGACGGUACCCGGAGAAGAAGCCCCGUCUAACUUCGUG
rnacentral:rRNA from 1 species